AUCCCUCUAAAGCCCAUUAAACCCUAAAAUCAGCAUGAAUCCCUCUAAAGCCCAUUAAACCCUAAAAUCAGCAUGAAUCCCUCUAAAGCCCAUUAAUCCCUAAAAUCAGCAUGAAUCCCUCUAAAGCCCAUUAAACCCUAAAAUCAGCAUGAAUCCCUCUAAAGCCCAUUAAACCCUAAAAUCAGCAUGAAUCCCUCUAAAGCCCAUUAAACCCUAAAUCAGCAUGAAUCCCUCUAAAGCCCAUUAAACCCUAAAAUCAGCAUGAAUCCCUCUAAAGCCCAUUAAACCCUAAAAUCAGCAUGAAUCCCUCUAAAGCCCAUUAAACCCUAAAAUCAGCAUGAAUCCCUCUAAAGCCCAUUAAACCCUAAAAUCAGCAUGAAUCCCUCUAAAGCCCAUUAAACCCUAAAAUCAGCAUGAAUCCCUCUAAAGCCCAUUAAACCCUAAAAUCAGCAUGAAUCCCUCUAAAUGUAACAGUUACAGUAUAAAACAUAACAGACUAAGGCAAUGGAUGACGUCAUCACAUUAAAAGACAUAGUGACUUUAACUCUCAUACAAACUUUGGUCAUUUUUAAUAAAAAACAAUUCGGCAAAAGUUUGUUUUAAGUUUGUUUUUUAAAGUAGCAUUUACAAAGAAAAUGUCUUCUGUACUUUUAUAUAAGAGAAACAUUGAUAAAUAUAAAGCAACGUGCCUAGCCUUUACACACGGCUGCAUUGGGAUGACACAGGACAUAAAGGACACACAGAGAGAGGGAUUAAAAAGUCAAGUGCUGCUUUUAAAGUCACUAAGGAGGGGAAAGGGAGAUUCUUUAGGGUGUAUAUCCCAAAUCGCAUUCCCUGUUGCCAAUAUAGUGCACUACUUUUGACCAGAGCCCCAUAGGACCUAUAGUAGUGCACUAUAUAGGGGUUAGGGAUGCCAAUUAGGAGGCAAGGCUAUGAUUGACGUGCUCUGACUGUACAUGAUGAGAGAAACAGAGAAAGUCCUCCCUGAUGAAUCGCAUGGACUAGUGGGUUAAAAAUACAUCAUAUUCAAUACUGUGUCUUCCCCUUAGGCUUCCUGACGUCCAGGUUCAUCACUACAGAGGGGAUGAGAGGAGUAUUCAAUACUGUCUCUCUCCCUUAGUCUUCCUGACCGUCCAGGUUCAUCACUACAGAGGGGAUGAGAGGAGUAGGUCUGCAUAGCCAGGUCUGAAGACCGCACAAACAGAUCUGGGACCAGGCUAUGGUCAUCAAGCAUCGAUGCUGGAUCUAGGCUGGGGUUUGGGAAAUGUAUGAAAUUAGAGACUUUCAUGGAUCUGAUAAUCUCAUGGCCUGGGUCCC
rnacentral:lncRNA from 1 species